rnacentral:rRNA from 1 species
UCCACGCCGUAAACGAUGGAUACUAGCUGUUCGGAUUUAUCUGAGUGGCUAAGCGAAAGUGAUAAGUAUCCCACCUGGGGAGUACGUUCGCAAGAAUGAAACUCAAAGGAAUUGACGGGGGCCCGCACAAGCGGUGGAGCAUGUGGUUUAAUUCGAUGAUACGCGAGGAACCUUACCAGGGCUUAAAUGUAGUCUGACAGGCGUGGAAAC